UCCUAGUACGGCGAGUGAAGCGGGAAGAGCUCAAAUUUGAAAUCUGGUGGCCUCAGGUCAUCCGAGUUGUAAUCUAUAGAAGUGUUUUCCGUGCUGGCUCAUGUACAAGUCCCUUGGAACAGGGCGUCAUAGAGGGUGAGAAUCCCGUCCUUGACAUGAACUACCAGUGCUCUGUGAUACAUUUUCAACGAGUCGAGUUGUUUGGGAAUGCAGCUCAAAAUGGGUGGUAAAUUCCAUCUAAAGCUAAAUAUUGGCGAGAGACCGAUAGCGAACAAGUACCGUGAGGGAAAGAUGAAAAGCACUUUGGAAAGAGAGUUAAACAGUAUGUGAAAUUGUUGAAAGGGAAACGAUUGAAGUCAGUCGUGCUCUUUGGAUUCAGCCGGUUCUGCCGGUGUACUUCCUUUGAGUGGGGUCAACAUCAGUUUUGAUCGCUGGAUAAAGGCAGGAGGAACGUAGUACCCUCGGGUAAACUUAUAGCCUCUUGUCACAUACAGUGGUUGGGACUGAGGAACGCAGCACGCCUUUAUGGCCGGGAUUCGUCCACGUACGUGCUUAGGAUGUUGACAUAAUGGCUUUAAACGACCCGUCUUGAC
rnacentral:rRNA from 1 species